rnacentral:lncRNA from 1 species
AUCUGAGCUACGUGUUUUUGCCUAAAUAACCCAUGCCAUAACUUCUCUGCAACUUCGAUCGUUUAGUUCUCCUCUCGAUUUUCCAUCGCCACUCUCUCUUCUUCGCUUACCUUUUAAUGCAGCUUUGAUUCGUCUCCAUCUCCACCGCAGCUUCGAUAUGAACGAAGGAGCACCACCCCCACCAUCAAACUGCGAUCUUUCCCCAUAUAUAGACAACAUACGCGGCAACGAUGGAGCACCACCGCCACCAUCUCCAUCUCCAUCUCCAUCUCUGCCGCUGGUAACCGCCAUCUUUUCCUACCUCCUUUCUUGGGUGAGUCCCUUCAAGUCCUAUUUUUUUAAUUUUAUGGAAUUUCGAAUUGAUUUGGGUAUUUUUGAAACUCUUAACUAUUUUAGGGAUCUAAUGAGUGAAAAAUUGGGGAUUGAAAUUGUAUUUUGGAAAAUUAACUUAUCGAGAUGUACAUUAUAUAAUAUUUUGGAACAUCUAAUUGAUUUGGAAGGUGAGUUUAGUUUUAAAUUUAAUUGGGUAUACUUUUUUACUUAGUUUGGUAAUGGAAGAAUAUUGGAUAGUAGUGCAACAAUGUGUAUUUAAGCUAUGCAAAUGUCUUCAACCCACGAUCCAUUUUACAUUGUAAAGGAGGAGAUUCAAGAUUCUGCAAGUUCAUUCCAAAUUCCUACUAUUUCAAACUUUAACUUUUAAAUUGAAAGGUUUAAUCUAUAGAGUGGUGCAUCACAUUAAGGGCCUAAAGGUAUGAAAACUGCAAAUUACUGUAUGUUAUUCUUAGAUUGCAAAAAUAAGAGAGGGAAUUUCUACUUUAUUCUCUCGUUCAGUUUCUAGUCUUGGCUGCCUUGCCUGAUCAUGUGUAUAGGUUCUCAACUAAUUCACUUAUAUUUGUUUAUCGAAAAUGACCAAGUAAUUGCAAUCUUAAAAUUUUAAAUCCUUAGGAUCUAAUAAUAUUAGUACUCUAGUUUUGUUGAGUUUUGCUGUACUACAAUAGUUUUACUAGAUUUCUUAAUUUAUCAUAAAUUAUAUAGCAUGCAUUAAUUCAUGUUUACUACAAAUCUGGAUUGCAUUUCAUAAAAACUUUAAUAAAGAAACGGAAAACUUGAAAUUUAUUUUUUGGAACAGGGAAUAGUUUCUAACUCUUCUUUUUUCCCAUUCAUCUAUAUGUCAGAGCUUUACUGGAAAAAGGUAACUUACACGACCAUUGUAUUGAUUAAGCAACUAAUAUAUUUCUAUGAUGAUUAAACAUGCUGCAUAUUUGAAUUCAUAAGUGUUGAAUUUUAUAUUUGAAUUGAGGCGAGAUGAUAGAAGAGGGAGCUUUAGCUUUGAAGAUGUACUUGAAAAAACUCUCAUAAUUAUGCUGGUUUUGAUGAAAUUUGGGUUUUGUUUCUUAGCUCCUUGAUAUGUAUAUGCUUAUGGAUGCUAUUUCAAGUUUGGAAGAGCAUAUGCUUUAUUGUGUAUACUGAAUCACAAGUUUUCUUAUGUAGUUAUAAUUUGGUUGGCCAGUUGGUUGAUAUCAAUUUAGGAAAUCGUUGGUUUUGAUGUGUAAAUGAGUGUUAUAUGGUGCUCAAAACAAUUAUUAUAUCUAUAUCUACUUAUGUAAAGGUUUUCAACAAUUUCCAUCGUGGUUAGUGAUUGCAGGCAAUAUCUAUAUAUUCUUUUUAGUAAGAACAAUAGAAAUUUUAUGCAGAGGUCUAGUAAUUAGUAAGGGGGUGCAACUUGUGUUCUUGCAAAACCCAGUCAACUUGGGAUACGCUUGAUUUUUCUACAUUGUAAUGUAUUAUGUAUUUUUGCUAUGACUGAAUGUAAUAUGGGCAGAAAUCAAUCAUUUAUAAGAUUCGUAAUAAGACUGUCAGUUCUUUUCAUAGAAAAAUGAAAUAUUAAAAUUUGAUAGUGAUUUUGUAGUUGGAGAGUGUUCUGAUUUUAGUAACUUGUAAGCGAGCUAAGCUUUAAGAUGAUGGUAAGUGUUACUCUAAACUUGUCAAAAUAAAAAUUAAAAACAUUGAAGAGAAAAAAGUAUAGUGAUGCUCUAUCAAAAUUAUGGUUACAUAUUGAGUGAAUCUCAUACUUUCUUAAAUGAUAUAUGAUAUUUUAAGUUUCAUGGUCAGAAUGACAAUUUUCUUUAAUAUUUACUUGAAUGAAUUUGUGAAUGAUCUUAUAAUCGUAGUCUUUACUUUUAACUACUUAACAUGACAUUCUUUUGAACAUUGUUGUCUAGUUUGUGGAGCUACCUGCAACUUCCACUUGUGAGAUGAUAAUCUUGCAUUGAAGCCACAAGAUAUCUGUAAAGGCGGUUGAUCUCUUUUCUUUCUGGUGCUUUAAAUUUAGUUUACUUGGAAAACAAUGGUGUUGUCGAUCUUUUUGACAAUUGAAAUUGGCCGUCAGUCUUGAGUUUACUUUACCGUUCCUAUUUGCUAUGACCAGGCCAAGUAAUAAUGAUCAUUGAUGUAUUUAUAAAUGGACUACUUUCAUUUGUCAUGAAUCAUUGCUGCACUUUGUUUGCAAAGGUGAUUAUUUUCUGCACUUGAGAAACUCGAGUAGCAGAAAUGAAUCUCAUCCUUUUUGCUUGAUAUGCAUGGUAGGAAGUAAUAUGAAAAAAAUGCGUUAUAGUUGGUUUCUAUCCUUUGUAAAUUGUAACCAAAAUGAAUCUCAUACUUUUUCCUUUUUGCUUGAUAUGUCAUGUAUUUUUCUAUGGGAAAUUUCCUUUAGGAACCAAAAUGAAUUGAUUUCGGUUGCCUUUUGUUAGGAAACCGUAUAUGGUUAUGAUACUCUUUCUAUAAAGAUCUCUUCAGCAUGUCAACCACAUGGCACAUGUUAGUUAUUAUAAAUGGCUUUCAUGUGAUUAAUUGAAAAUUGACAUUAUUUUUACUUUUUCCACCUGAUUUACUUCUAACAUUUGGAUCACCAACUUCAGAUUAUUAUAAGGAAAGGUAACUUCCCUCUUAAGGGCAAUCUGUGUGCGUCCUGCUAAAAAGGAAGCAAGUAUUAAGAUGAUAUGAAUGUACAUAAUUUCAGUCUUAUAAUUAAAAAAUAAGAAAACAAAAAAUGUAAUGUAGUGUUUGUUACUUUUAACCAUGAAGCUUUUCGUUCUUAUUUUUAUUGUCGGUCUCGCUUGUUUUGACCAAUUAUUUUUAUUUCUUAAAUUUCAAGUGAAUUCAGAUGGUAAGACAAAAUAAUUACAACAAUGAUGGUAUUAUUAAGGAUUUUGGCAUUCAAGUGAGGGCUGAGUUCACUUCUAUUAAUGCACAAGUUCUUGAUCCUUCAAAGAUAAAUCAAUCUUUACUCCGACUUCUGUGUUUGAACACAACAUUUUACCUUCCAAAUUAUUUUGACUCCAUUCUCGAAUUUGGUUGACCCAACUUAUGUAUCGUUGCUAUAGGUCGAUUUUCUAGUAAUGUGCAGUUAUAGAUUUGGAUAUUCUGAAUUUAAAGGUUGUGAUCUAUUUUUUCAGUAACAAAGUAGUUUAUGUUGGACAACUAACCAUAUUAAAUAAAGUAGAGAUUUAUUUCUUCACUAAAUACCAUAUUAAAACUGACUUACGGAUCCAGAGUCAUUUCAGUUUUUGUUUAGGUUUAUUUUUUUAUUCUAUUUAUUUUCUACAAACAUAAGAAUAUUAUGUGGUAGUGCAUUAUUUUUUAGAAUAUAUUUAUUUUCCUCAUCUUUUAGGUUUAUAUGCAUUCAAAUAAUUUUUCUGUCCACGGUUGCACUUCAGAUAUAUGUGUAGCAUUGGAAAUAAGAAAGUUGGAACUUUUUGAUAUGUGGGGAGCAGGUGCUACUGAACCUACAACCGAAGACAAUGUUCAAGUUCAAGUGGCUUCAAGUAAUCAGAUGUCUUCUAUAUAUAACUGAACUAUUGUAUUGUAAUAAUGAACGUAAAAGUUAUUAGUUUAGUAGGUUGUUAUAAUAAUGAUC